CCUACGGGCGGCAGCAGUGGGGAAUAUUGCGCAAUGGGGGAAACCCUGAUGCAGCGACGCCGCGUGGGUGAAGAAGUUCUUCGGAAUGUAAAGCCCUAUCGGCAGGGAAGAUAAUGACGGUAUCUGACCAAGAAGCCCCGGCUAACUCCGUGCCAGCAGCCGCGGUAAUACGAAGGGGGCAAGCGUUACUCGGAUUUACUGGGAGUAAAGAGCGCGUAGGCGGGAAAGCAAGUCUGGGGUGAAAGACGGGGGCCUAACCCCAGGACUGCUCUUGAAACUGUGUGUCGGGAGUGCGGGAGCGGUAAGUGGAAUUCGUGGUGUAGCGGUGAAAUGCGUAGAGAUGAGGAGGAACACUGGUGGCGAAGGCGGCCUGCUAGAACGUGACUGACGUUGAGGCGCGAAAGCGUGGGGAGCAAACAGGAUUAGAUACCCUGGUAGUC
rnacentral:rRNA from 1 species